AUGCUGAUCAAGAGCAAGCAAGAGGAGGAGAUCUUUAGUGAUCUGCCCCUCUUUGAUGUUAACAUCUUGAACAAUUUCAUUGAUGAGUGGUUCGAUGACCAGAACAUCAGCAUUGACAGUCUACAGCUACCAGUGGGCAUCAGCGUCAUGUUCCACGGAGCUAUUGCUAAUGAGCUGGCCCUGGCACAGAAAAUCAUCAAGCUCAAAAACAAGAUUGAUUAUGAGAAGGCCCAUUUCAAGAAGAACAUGUACAAGCUUAGUGUGGAAGAUGUGCCAAUCUUCAAGAAGAUGUUGCAUGACCUCAGAACUAAAUUUCACAAGAAGCGUGAAGAAGCUAAAGGCUCUCGAGAACGCAUGAAGUCUUAUACUCAGAAAUGUGUGCAAGCGCACAAUGAAGCUGAAAAGAGGAAAGCUCUUGGGUGUCCUGGCAUUGAUCCUAGAAUGGCUGCUAAGAAGAGUAAGAAGCCUGCUGAAGCUAAUCCUGAUGCUACAAGGCACGGACAACCCAGAAUUGUCUUCCCUGCCAGCAUGACUGGCUCGAAGCCAAAGGUCCCCUCAGCUGCUUCUGAGCUCAAGAAGACCAGGCAGGCUGAAGCAGAAGCCAGGAAGAGGAAGCACAAGGAUACAUCUGAUGAUGCCCCUCCCAAGAAAAAGUUGAAUACAAAGGGCUCUAAGGAAAGAGUGUGCUGCUGCCCAGAGCCCCUCGUUGUUGAACCCAUUUCUAUUGCAUACCCUGCCUCUGCUAAUCGCGAACGUCGUCUCGUUGUUCAUGAGCCUGCUACCACAGAGGCACCAGGAUCAGAAGAGUUCCAGUUGUUGACCCCAACGCAACUGAAGACAUUGGUCAUGAAGACAAUAUACUUGAUGACGAAGUCCUUCCUCAGCUCGAGCCCCAGUUGGUAUCAUCGCCUACUCCUAUGA
rnacentral:rRNA from 1 species